UAUCAGAGAGAAGAUUGUGUCACCACAACUGACAACGGAUCAAACUUUCUGAAAGCCUUCAGAGUUUAUGGACAGAAUGGCGAGAACAACAAUCCUGAACCUGUAGGAGAGGGUGAUGGAGAAGAGGAUGAUGGUGGACAAAAUGAUGAAAAAGAGGAAAACGUUGAGGGUGUUGAAUUUGUUGAUGCCGUAGCCGUGUUGAAAGAAGAUGACUGCUUGGAAUACCAGCUACCCUAGCACCAUCGCUGCGCCUGCCACCUCCUCAAUUUAGUGUCCACAGUUGAUGCUUCAAAAGCAGAGGUGAACCCAUUGUACAAGCGCCUUGUGACAUCCACAUUUGCCAAAUGCUCUAGCCUGUGGAACAAAAGUUCAAGAUCAACCACUGCAUCUGAAGUAAUGGAAGACCACUGCAAACUCCAACUCGUAAGGCCUGUUGCUACAAGGUGGAAUUCACUCUUCUCAGCCGUAGAAAGAAUAGUGAGAAUAACAAGAGAACAAGGUGAAGGAGCCCUUGCAGCUGUCUGCAGUGAACUAGAUACACCCAAGUUUACUCCAGUGGAACUUGCUUUUCUGGCAGAAUAUGCGAAGACAAUGAGCCCAGUUGCAAAGGCACUUGAUCUUCUUCAGGGAGAAACCAGUGUGCAGAUGGGAUGGUUGGUCCCCACCAUAACUCUACUAAGGACCAAGCUCCAGCACCUUCACAUUGCCUCCAAGUUCUGUGAGCCCUUGAUUGCUGCACUUCUUUCAGGCCUUGAAAAACGCUUCGGAGAGAUGCUGGCAGAUCCAGAGCUGAUAGCCGCAGCCAUUUUAGUUCCCAAAUUUAAGACCUGCUGGACAAGUGACGAACAUAUCCUCAA